UACGUAGGGUGCAAGCGUUAAUCGGAAUUACUGGGCGUAAAGCGUGCGCAGGCGGUCUUGCAAGACAGGUGUGAAAUCCCCGGGCUUAACCUGGGAACUGCACUUGUGACUGCAAGGCUGGAGUACGGCAGAGGGGGAUGGAAUUCCGCGUGUAGCAGUGAAAUGCGUAGAUAUGCGGAGGAACACCGAUGGUGAAGGCAAUCCCCUGGGCCUGUACUGACGCUCAUGCACGAAAGCGUGGGGAGCAAACAGG
rnacentral:rRNA from 1 species